AACCCAGUUGCUUUGGAUCAUGCUCAAAGAUGUAAGGGCUACAAAAAGUUAACCAGAACUCUUAUGGACUCCAUCUUCUCUUUCGAAGAGAUGGCAGCAUGAACGGAAAAAAAGGGGUUGUUGGUGAAAAAAGAGCCUUGACCUACAAAAGGUGCAGCUAAUAAUUGACCAUGUCAAAAAGAGGCACCCAGGCAUCGGAGGCACUGAGAUCAAGGUCUGCAUGGCACAAAAGUUAAAAGAUCUGAGGAGACGAGCAGAAAGGAUGCCUGCUGCAGGAGACACAAAGGACUGAGACAACACACUUUCACAAACGCACACCACACACACACACAUGCGCGUAUACCUGCGUUUUUUGCGGCUUUUUAUGUAUAAUUUUAAUUUGGUUUUGCUUUGUUUGUUUUAAACAUUCAAUUUGUAUUGCAUAUUUUGAAAUGAAAUAAAA